rnacentral:rRNA from 1 species
UACGGAGGGUGCAAACGUUGUUCGGAAUUAUUGGGCGUAAAGCGCACGUAGGCGGCUUUUCAGGUCGGAUGUGAAAUCCCCGGGCUCAACCUGGGAAUUGCGUUCGAAACCGGGAGGCUUGAGUUCUGGAGGGAGAGGUAGAAUUCCUGGUGUAGGGGUGAAAUCCGUAGAUAUCAGGAGGAAUACCGGUGGCGAAGGCGACCUCUUGGCCAUGGACUGACGCUGAGGUGCGAAAGCGUGGGUAGCAAAC